UCCCCGCGCCGACGCACCCGGAAUCUCCGCCGAGCCCCCAGCGCGGCUCCGCGCUCGGGGCCUCGAUGCCCCUGGGACACCUCGACAGUCUGUCCUGGCGCCGCGCUCGUCGGUCCGGCGGGGAAUGGUUGCUCGGUCGGUCGGCUCCUAGGGCGAUGGUCUGCAGGCCCCCUUCCUGGGGCAUAGAAAGGCAAAGGAGGGCCCUGGGGCAAACCAAAAGGAAAAGAGCUGAUGGUGGAUGUCACGACCCGGGCUGGACAGACCAGGGAGUCGUGUUGCGUUUGGAAUUCCCUCGGGCUAAAUUAAGGAACUGCCAUGAAACUAUCUCAGCGACCCGUGUAACCCAUGGUAACCAUAUACCUCAAUUCAGGGAAUAAGGAGAGCCCUCCCGUUGAGUCACGAGGUUCAGAGCGGACCCCCUCUGCUUUCUAGACUCCUCCGAGAAGUGCCGUGGGACGGCUGGAUCCGCUCCUAGUCCCAGACUUGGUCAGCGGUUUAUGUCUAAAGGGAUGAGGUGUAGGGAUUAUGAAAAAGGAGAGAGGAAGAGGAAAUGAAAAGAGAAAGAUCUCACCGCCCCUGGGCCCAGCGUUGCUCCAGUCUAAAGGUCCAGUUCCAGAAGGCGCGCGCGGGGCUUCUGUUUGCGUCCUUUCAUCAAUCUCCUUGCCCCUCCGUCGGGCGGGCACUCGGACUCAUUAGGCUAAUUAGCUGUCAUGCGCGGUUUGUGCUUUCAGAACCUUCAGGAAAUGGGUCGGUGGGCUUGGGGGGUCGUUUGAGGAGUAACUUCUUCCUCCCUGCAGGCGUGACCGUUGUUUGGUCCUUGGCCGCACAGGGUGAGCUGCCCUGCUCAGCGUAUCGGGACACGGACGCCCUCCGCCUUCUGCCGCAGACGUCCUGUGCUGGUCUGUGCUGAUCGGCUUCUCACCUGCGGUUCGUUGUUAUGCCGGGUUCAUUGUUAUGCAGGGUUCGUCGUUAAGCAGAACUUGCCCCACCACAAUGCUUGAGACAUUAACUCUUUCAGUCUCUCACAGUGGAGAACACCAAAAAGCACCCAGAAAACUGUGGGAAAGGGGAGAAAGCUGAACGGAGAAUUUUGUUGCCCACUGCAGGACAAACAGGACCCUGAGGCUCACCAGAAGGCACAUGGAGGGCUCAGGGGCAACCCAGAAUGUGCACUGAGGAUUCUGGGGCACACCAAAAUGCAAAUAGAGGCUGCAAGGUGCCUCAAAAUGUCCUCAAAAUCUGAGGACAUCAGAAAGCAAACUGGGAACACAAUGUCGUAACUAGGUGAAAAAGGUUGUUUCUGCAGGGCAAGUGCAAGGCCUUGGGGUGUAUGGGAAGCCAAGUGGAAGACUGUAAGGCAUGCGUCUCUACAGCUUUAUUACCUAGUCUACUUGGGAAUAAGUCACCAUGUAAGACUCUGUGUGUGUCUGUAUUUCCCUUCCACCUUGUUCGGAUUGCUCCCACCACUCUAUCCUCACCUUCAUUAUUGAAUUUCUCAUGCAAGGACAGCAUGUAAGCUGAGACUUUUUAGUAACCAACUUUAAUUUACUUGCCUUGCCAGAUGUGCAGUGGCUGCGGGCAGGGGUGUGGGGUGUGGAGUCUGAAAAAGUCCUGGGCAUUACCAGGAGGGAUACAGAUGACGACAAAAAGCUCCAGAAAACCUUGGUGAAUCCACAUCCUCAGUACUGUAUGCUGUCACAUUCUCUGCAUCUUAUGAAGGUCAAAGUUUUGAGUUGGAAAGGUACAAAGCUACCAUCUCGUAUAAGGCGAGCCUGAAUAGGCUGCAGUUUCUAACAUCCGCUAACACUGGCGGUGGUAUGAGAGGCAUGGACUGCGGAAAGAGGUGAGACUUACGUGCUCCUCCUAAACUGCAUCUCCUGUUGCCCCUGUUAGGGACAGAAUACCAGUAUAGACUUACAACGAUAGCUCCAGCCCAGUAGGACAUUUUGUAUGUUCUUAGGACAUGUGGUACAGAGAAGAAUGGAAUGGAAAAGUGGUUAGUAGACCACUGUGCUGAAUCAGUUUCUUUGUAUCAGUUAGACCUCUUUCUCCACUGAAAGAGUAAAUGCCAAUCCCAGUGGUUGAAACCCUGAAAUUAUUAGGAAUGCCAUAAUUGGCUUGCAGAGGAAAACAUAUCUGUAAAUUUUUGAGUCUCUAAACACAGUAUAGCUCAGAAAUAAAGAUCAAAAUUUUAUUUUCAUGUUGGUAAUAAAAAUAAUUCCAUGACUUCUGUAAACCAUUGCAUAAACGCUAUAGUGUAGAAAAGUUUUAACAAGUGUUAACAAUUUUAAACAGUUCACUACAAGUAAAUGAGUAUGCAUUAUAAAUAAUAUGUUUUGUAUUAAGAACAAUUUCAUUCACAAAAUCAUUUCUGUCUGUACACUCAAAACAUUAACGGCUUCCAUAAAUUGACUAAAAAUUCCGUAUUUAUUUAGGGUCUGAUGAUGACCACAGUUACACAAGCAUAGUGUGACAGUAAUAAUAUUACUACCUAUAUUUAAUACUAGGAUACUCUGAAUGGCAAUAUAGAACAAAACAAGUAUGUCUUUAAUAAUCUGCUAUUCAAAGAAGACUAAUAAGCCUGUAACGUGCAGCUUGGGAUGUAUCUGUAAUUAGCAUACUUCUGGUUAAAUUACAGCUCCUAACUGUAAAAACCCUGAGAAAUCACAUUUUUAAUCUAUUAUUCCCCAGGCUAAAAUAAUUGUGACAACAUAAUGGCAUUCACAUUUAAAAUUAUAUUCUUACAUAAAUUAACACAGAACUUUGUCAAAUACCAAAAUGAAUCUUGAAAAUAUAUUUAGUUUGCUUUUAUGUAUUUUGUGAAUUCAGCAAAUUACCAUAUUGUAGUCUCGCUAAAAUAUAAUUUUAAUGUAUCCAGUUUCUAGAUAAUGUAUAUAGUACAAGGACGAAUACUUACAAAGGUCAGGUUUCACUUCUGACUUCUUCCAAAUAGUCAUCUCUAGUCAACUGCAUUUAUUUUAUUAUCCUCCAUUUUAAAGUAGUGGUGUAAAAGUGCAUACUUAUUUGUUUUUGCAGUUGACUUGCUUAAUAAGAUACAGAAAACUUUGCUUGUAAUUCCUCACAAAAAGAAUUUUGUGAAGAACAACUGUAUUAUUUUCAUAUGACUGCUAUGUUAUGAUGAUGCAUGGUUCAAGUGAUUACCUAAGGAUUCGUCUAUAAUUAUAGCAAGCCGUCCAGUCUGAGAAUUUCACAUAUAGGUAUGUUUCUUGGGUAUGUGUUUUUUCCUUCUCCACAAAAUGGUUUGUUGACAGUUUUUAAAUGUGUCUGUAUUUCAGCACCAAAGAAACUUACAGGGAACACCUGCAAAAUUUUCAGUACUGAUAUUACUACAGGACACACAUAAUUAUUUUCAAGAUUCAUCAUUGUAAAACACAAAACAUACAACUUUAAAAAGCAACAGACUAAAUAUAUUAGUUAAUUUCCUCUAAAAAUGCAGCACACAAAAACUAUGAAUGUCAAUGUGAUGAUUCACACUGCAAGUGCUGUUAACAUUCCUUUUUUGUUGGUGUCAUGACAUUAGGAAAAUCGCCUGUUAGUACCAAAAAAAGGGACCACAAAAUAGCCCUAGGACAUAGGCAAAUGCACUAAAAUACACAUGAAGAACUAUAAACUUUGACAAGACAGCACAAAACCACGCUUCCAUAUCUCGUGGGUAACAAAUGUCACAUAGCUGCAUAUGGGCAGCACAACGUGGCCCGAAGCUGGUUCCUUCUAAAAUACCAAAGCAAAAAUUUUCACUAAGAUAUUUCUGAAUGUUUUUGUGAGCACAAUGGUUGCAGAAUGCUGUUCCACACUAGAUAAAUAUAGUAGACUGGAGUCCAAAAGAAAUGCUUGUUUGAAAAAUAUGUAACAUAAUUUCAAACUAUAAUUACAUAUUAUUCUUUGAUUUGCUCACUGUUUGAAAAAACAAAACCCUUACAUAACUAAGUUUGCUUUAGUCCAAAAUGCUGUUAAGGUUCAAAAAUCAGUCUUUGUCAUAGACUGCAGAGAUGCAAAAAACACCUUAAUACCUACACCCAAACUUGGUGAUCCAAGUUCCUUUUUUUAGAAGUCCAAAGCUGGCUACACCUUUAAAAUGGCAAUAUCUUAUUUUAGGACAGAAAAGUGUUUUGGAAAAUGCAAAUACAGUCCAAUUUUAUACUUUUCUCAGUACAAACAUUUUAGAGAAACUGUGUUAAAGUCAACAAAAUCACAUUAUUAAACCCAACUUUGGUCUUUAAAGUGAUCUUCAGACAAAAUUUUGAAACAGAAUCAAGUAGAAAUGUAUUUAAUAUUUUAUCCUACUUCUCCCUUCCCAAAAGGUCUCCAAUGUUCCUGCAGUGACAAGCCUGUACAUUUAGUUCUCACGGAAAACGUGUAAUGAUUUUUUGCUAACUCAAGCCUUUGUACAAAGAACGCUAAAACCCAAAGGAGAUAGUGAUUUCAGUACUAUUGGCUUGGGCCCUUUAUUUAAUGCUGACACAGUUAUAAAAGCUCCAUCUUGACAAUAAUAAUUUAAGUAUACAUCUUGUUUUUUGUUUUAGCAUGACUGAACUUUAAAUAGAUUAACUCUUUGCUGCCUAUGUGAACGCACUUUUUGUACUAAAUACAGUAAUACUGAGAUAGAAAUCAUGUAACACAGUAGUAGGUCAUUUCAAUCUAAGUUGUACUAGUGUCACACCUGAAUUUAACAGUAAAACAAGUAAUGCAGGCAAUUAUUCCAUGUAAGAAAAGUAAAAAUAUACAGUGUUAACAUGCAGUAAUUAACUAACUUCUCCUCCUGAACUGCAUGUUCCCAACUACCAGGAUGAAGUAAGAUAUUACCACCUUUUAAAAGAAUCACUGUGUCAAAGUGUCACUGCCUGAUUACAUACUUAAAUAAUUUUGUAGUUUCUUUCAAACAUGCAUUACUUCAUUACUGAAAAAAGUGUGGUUUUAAAUAUUUAUAAAAGCAAGAGACAUAUUCUAGUUAUUGUCAAAUUGUUCAAUACAAAAUUAAGCAAUAGAAAUUAUUUGCAAAAUUCUUUUUUUAUGUCUUCUGCCAUUUUAUAGGAUAUUGGGCAUAGGCACUUGGUAAUAUUAUAUAUAUCAUAGCUGUUCCCGAUGAGUACCACACAGGUUAGAUGCACAAAAACUUAGACUACAAACACCCAAACUGAGGGAAAUAUGCAAAUGCACAGUUGUUUACUAAAACUGAUCUGUUUCUCAAAUUGAAAACAUGUCUUUGAAUAUGAUGAAAGCGUAUGUGCCUCACUCGUUUUGUCUCUGCUGGUACAUUUAUAAAUACUACAGUAUGCAGUUAACUUAUAAAUUGUAAAAAAACUAGCUAAGUUGUCAUUUCUAUUUAAUCAUAUUGUGAUUUAACAGUAAAACCAUGUGAAAUCUUUUAAAUUCACAGUACACAUAUAACACGUCAUAUUAUUGCAUAUUAAAAAAUAAACGUAAGACCUAGAAAGCAGCUUGAAGCAAUUUACAACAGAUCUUCUAACAAAACACAAUAAUUAAAAAGUGCUUUUAUAUUUAUAUUAAUCAGAGUUUUUCAAACAUCCAAGUAGACAUAGUGUUAGACCAAUUCCAAAAUACUGGCUCUGGUGUUCUACACACAACAGAGAUGGCAAAGGAACCAUUUGUACUGUGGAGUGUGUAGUUACUGUAUCUAUGUAUCCAACUUCUGUUAAUGAAAAUAACAGGUAUAAACACUUCAUUCAGGCAUUAUGGUAAGAUUUAUACAAAGUGAUUACAGUGCAAAUGAACCUAAGUAGCUUGUGCACUGGGAAUGUAAGUGGAAGUCAGAAAAGGCUGCAAUGAGAUUGCGGGGGAAUGAACGAACCUCAAGACUACAGAACCUUAUCAAAUGACUGAAGCUGAUAUGUAAAGGUGAGCAAACCUUAUUCCCUAUCUUAAAGCAACUAAGUUUCUCACAUCAAAAUGGAAAUCAAUCUAGCACUAUUAAAUGGAUUAAUUAUGAGUGAUAUAAUUCUUAUACAAAAUACAAAACCAUAAAAUUAUUUAAUUCAUGAACAUGAUACGAGUACUAUGCCUGUAUGCUACCACAGAUUUUUUUUUUUCUUGCAGCAGGGACAUUCUUCUUGUGCAGCUGCACAGUGAUCACAAAGUACAUAAUGUUGACAUGGAUUCAGGAUAAUGCUACGAUCACCUUCCUGACACACGAUACACUUCUUUGACUGAAGCUGAAAAAUCACCUGUAAAAAGAUUAUUGCACUCAGUAAAAAUGAUUCCAAAGUAUACAGUUGCAUUCUAGCAGCUUUACACUUAGCUGUCCUGAAUAAACUUCUAAUUUAACAACACAAAGGACAAUGUUUUUGUAUGAUAGAUAGCUGAACUGAGGGUCAUUAAGAUCAGAGCAUGCGCAACCUUUAAAGUAGCAGCUGGAGGAAUAUAGGUGCUUUUGGAAAGGAAAGUAUCUAGGAUUGAACCUCUGGACUGAAAUUUUCCUGCAUCAUUGGGAUGAGAGAUGCAAACAAGCAAAACCAAAAAAAAAACCAGGAAAUGAGCCUUUUUCAUGGUCAUAUACUCACUCAUUUUGCCACUUCAAACCACCAUUACAUUUUCUCAUGCCAUGGGAGAUGUUCGCAUUAGGACAAAAUGGAAGCAUCCCAAAUGUGCGAUACUUUGCAUAAAGCUACUGAUACAGACUUUGGGGAGUAUGUUACAACUGCAAAUAAAUGUCUCCAUGUCAUAAGGCAUAUCAACCCUAUUAAGGAACAGGAAGAACUGAAAAGCUAGUUGCUUUUUGAUGCGUGUUAAUUUUUGAAGAGCAAGACAUGGUUCGGACUAAGAGAAGAACCAAGAAUGCUAUGUGUGGCACUGCCUAAGAUGGCAACUUUCUCUUGGAAGGAAGAGCUAGGUGAGAAGAGGCCACAAUGGUAAAGGAAAAAUGAGAAACUGAGGAGCUGGAAAAGGUGGUAAUGGUUCUGAUCACUCCAGCCUGGCCAAGAUGACUUCCAUUCCAGGAUGUAAUGACUUUUUUGGUAGGAGAACCCAAGACUCUUUUGCUCCUCUUUAAAAUCCCUUAGGAGAAAAACAACAGUGGUCCCUAAUCCAAUCAAGAGUCCUAUAAAUGUACUUGAUAACAGGAGCCUGGAAACUAGCAAGUCACGUCCUCGUCCACCUACUUUAUUGACAAAGACUUAAAUUAUCUUUUAAACUCUUCUAAAGAGAGCCUGGCUUUUUUUUCCAAGGCUGUAGUUCAUACUGAUACAGACAACACUGGACAGGAGGUGAACUGAGACAGAGAAGACACUGUGGAACUCAAACAGGCUGAGGCUGCUGGUGGUGAGGAGCCGUAGUGGAUGAAACAAAAGACUGAGACAGCGAUUGUGAAAGAGAACUGAGUGGAGAGGUCGAAAGGGAUGAUGAUGAAUGUAAAGAUGAGGAACGAACAAGAGAACCUGGAAUAUUGACAGGUGCUGAACCUCCCAGUAAUCUUUGACCUAUGUAUACAUUAGGGGGA